rnacentral:rRNA from 1 species
AUGAAGUCUUUUACCCUGGAAAAAAUCAGAAGCAAGCUUUCGGGACAAAACACCGCCGCCACGAGGCGGAACCUUGGAGGAACCAAUCUAGGGCUCCGGCGGAGCUGUUCUGCUGGGGAAACAUCCCUACGGGAGGGGGAAAUCAUCGCCAUCGUCAUCACCAAUGAUCCUCUCAUCGGGAGGGGGUCAGUCUCCAUCAACAUCUUCACCAGCACCAUCUCCUCUAAAACCCUAGUUCAUCUCUUGUAUCCAAUCUUUGUCCCAAAACCUCAGAUUGGUACAUGUGGGUUGCUAGUAGUGUUGAUUACUCCUUAUAGUUGA